rnacentral:rRNA from 1 species
UACGUAGGGGGCGAGCGUUAUCCGGAAUUAUUGGGCGUAAAGAGUACGUAGGUGGUUUCCUAAGCGAGGGGUUUAAGGCAAUGGCUUAACCAUUGUUCGCCCCCCGAACUGGGUUACUUGAGUGCUGGAGGGGAAAGCGGAAUUCCUAGUGUAGCGGUGAAAUGCGUAGAUAUUAGGAGGAACACCAGUGGCGAAGGCGGCUUUCUGGACAGUAACUGACACUGAGGUACGAAAGUGUGGGGAGC